AUACGGAGGGUGCAAGCGUUACUCGGAAUCACUGGGCGUAAAGCGCGCGCAGGCGGCUUGAUAAGUUGGAUGUGAAAGCCUACGGCUCAACCGUAGAACUGCAUCCAAAACUGUCAAGCUAGAGUCUGGGAGGGGAAGAUGGAAUUAGUUGUGUAGGGGUAAAAUCCGUAGAGAUAACUAGGAAUACCAAAAGCGAAGGCGAUCUUCUGGAACACUACUGACGCUGAGGCGCGAAGGCGUGGGGAGCAAACAGGAUUAGAAACCCCGGUAGUCC
rnacentral:rRNA from 1 species